rnacentral:rRNA from 1 species
CCUACGGUGUGCUGCAGUGGGGGAUAUUGCACAAUGGGGGAAACCCUGAUGCAGCGACGUCGCGUGAGUGAAGAAGUAUUUCGGUAUGUAAAGCUCUAUCAGCAGGGAAGAAAAUGACAGUACCUGACCAAGAAGCCCCGGCUAACUACGUGCCAGCAGCCGCGGUAAUACGUAGGGGGCAAGCGUUAUCCGGAUUUACUGGGUGUAAAGGGAGCGUAGACGGUUAUGUAAGUCUGGAGUGAAAGGCCGGGGCCCAACCCCGGGACUGCAUUGGAAACUGAGUAACUGGAGUACAGGAGGGGCAGGCGGAAUGGCAGGUGUAGCGGUGAGAUGAGUAGAUAGCAGGAGGAACACCGGCGGCGAAGGAGGCCUGGUGGACUGAAAAUGACGUUGAGGCUCGAAAGCGUGGGGAGCAAACAGGAUUAGAUACCCCGGUAGUC